rnacentral:rRNA from 1 species
AUGCCGCGAUCGUCCGCAGCUGCAAGCCUGCAACUGACCAGAGUCAACUUCGGCUGCAACACGAACACGACCGGCGGCAGCCCGUUCCUCUUGACCGGCAACGUCGGCCUCGGCGCCGGGAACCUCUCCCUCAUCGACCAGAUCGGUGCCCAGACAUCGCUCGGCCGGAGGUUCUCGUACUGCCUCGCGCCCUUAUCCGUCAACGCCUCCUCCAUCAAUUUCGGCGCCCGCGCCACCGUGACGAAGCCCGGCGCGGUGACCACGCCGCUGGUCCCGUCGGCCGUGGACGCUUUCUACACCAUCCUGCUCACGUCCGUCAAGAUCGGGAACUCGACCAUCGUACCGCCGAAGCUGUCCCCCGUCGUCGUCGACUCUGGUACGGCACUGACGUUCCUCGACAAGGCGCUGCUGGACCCGAUCGUGGAGGAGCUCAGCAGUCGCCGGAGAAGCUGCUGGACCUGUGCUACGAGGUGGGCGGUACGAUUCCGGACUGGGUGCUGGAGAAGCUGUUCCCGGAGGUGA